UAUAAUGAGAAAUAUGAGUGGACAUUUGACAAAUAAUAUCUAUAUGUUUAUUCAUUAAUUUCUUCAUUCGCUUUCUUAUCCCUCCAUGGCUUAGUAUAAAAAUAAAGAGGGACACAACCAGCAACUCGAAGAGUCCAACUAGCCUCCCAUCCACGGAGUUCAAACCCAACGGAUAAAACUGCACAAUGAUCUAGAGUCAUUUCUUUUUCUAACUUUUCUUGAACUAA
rnacentral:ribozyme from 13 species